rnacentral:rRNA from 1 species
UACGUAGGGUGCAAGCGUUAAUCGGAAUUACUGGGCGUAAAGCGUGCGCAGGCGGUUAUGUAAGACAGAUGUGAAAUCCCCGGGCUCAACCUGGGAACUGCAUUUGUGACUGCAUAGCUAGAGUACGGUAGAGGGGGAUGGAAUUCCGCGUGUAGCAGUGAAAUGCGUAGAUAUGCGGAGGAACACCGAUGGCGAAGGCAAUCCCCUGGACCUGUACUGACGCUCAUGCACGAAGGCGUGGGGAGCAAACAGG